AUAUUAGAGAUUAGGGUUAGUUUUUCGGAGCCACUUGAGCUUUGAAUGCUAGGAUUAGUAAGUUUAGGUUUUUGGCUAUGGUUUUGGUACAAAUCUUGUAUGGUUUGGAGUUUAUUUGAAGGAGAUAUAGGCGCUCAAAGUUAAGGUGUUGAUUUGGAAGCUAUUAUCACUCUUUUUAAUAUAAUACAUGCGUACAAAAGGCAAUUGAGGAUCGGCAUCUGCAAUUGAAGAGAGUACUUUUGCGGUUAUACUUUUUGCAUACUACUUGCUAGAUUCCAAGUUGAAGUAAAGGAGUUAUUGGAUUUUGAAGUCAGCACAUGCAAUCUAAAGGUAGUAAGUGACCCAAUUAACUAGUGGUUGUGUCUUGAGCUAUAUCUUGAGCAAUUUGAUAAGGUUUUAGUUCAAUAUUUCAAGAAAUGUAUAAAUUCAUAUUAAUAAACUUUGUACAUAAGUUUGAUGACAUUUGAAUAUUGCAUUCUUGAGAUAUUAAGAAAAUAGUGCUUAGAUGCUUGUAAAUUAGGAUUUAGAGCAUUUGCUAGGAUUUCUCAGAUGCUUGAAGAUUGGGAGUGAAUUU
rnacentral:lncRNA from 1 species